CCUGCGCGCGCCGUUAAAGUAGCCGUAGUAACAAUCUGUUCAUUUGCCUUCAGGAGACCUGAGUCGUGAUGGAAGAGGCAGAACUGUUGAAGGAGAGACUUCAAGCCAUUACAAGUAAACGAAAAAUCCAGGAGGACAUUGCCUCAAAGCGGCUGGAGAUUGACCAGGAAAAACUGAAACUUCAGCAACUGAAGAAAAAAUCUGCAAGAGAUCUAUGGCUUAUGGGUGGCACGAGUGCUGGAGCAUCCCAGAAAGAGCAGACAGCUCAGGAUGUUACCCAGCAGACCAAAGCACUACAAAGCAACAUUCAUCGGAUAGAGAAGGAAAUUGAGGCUCUGGAGAGGGAAGAACUCAACAUCUCCACAAAUGAAGGACUCAUCCUGAACAGGCUGAAAGCCAUCGAGAAGUCCACAGAGGACAUUAUUAAGGCAGCAAAUGAAAAUUUCAAGUCAGAACCUAUCCAUGUUUAUAAAGGAAUUCCUGAUGGUCGAAAAUCCUACACACCUCUAAACAUGAGGAAACGGCCAACUGUGGAUCAAGGAACCAGAAGUGACCAACAGAAACCUGCUUUGUUUGCCAUGGAGAUCAACGUGCAGAAGGACCUGCGCACUGGUGAGAGCUGCGUCCUCUCCACCUGCACAGUCCCAGCCCAUGAAAUACAGCAGCGCGGCAUCAAGGUGUACGAUGACGGCCUGAAGUCUGUAUAUGCUGUACAUACUGCCUUGGAUCAACCUGAAGCCAGUGGAGUGGAUGAGCUCAGCCCAAAGGAGGUGGAGGAGCUCCUUAAACAGGCCACAGAGAAAAGGAAGAAGCCAAAAGAGCAAAACAAGCCUCAGUGUCUCAAGAACUACCAGAAUAGCCACGGCUCAGAGAUUUAUCAUAUGGGUCUGAGUGAAUGGCCAGAGCUCGAGUACAGUCACAGUAGUGUACACGACCCCUACCAGGAAGUUCAUGGACCUGCUCACAUGAUCCACCAUUACAAUGACCAGCAUGAAUAUUAUAACAGCAAUGGCAACAGCUAUGAGAUGUAUAGAGGAGAAACAAAAAAUGACCCAAAGCAGAUUUAUAACCCCCAAGAGCGACUCAGAAGAACUCAAAGUCAGCAUGUAGACUCUGUUGUGAAUCAUACAUCUCCUUUAUCCUACGGAGAGAACUCGAAACUCGGCAUCCUAAACACUUUGCCUUCAGACGAACCUGUUACUAUGAUCUUCAUGGGAUAUCAGAAAGCUGAAGAAGAUGCCCAGAGCUACGAAGGCUCCAUUCAGGCAGAGCUUGUCAUCAUCGGAGAUGGUGAGGAAGAAGCUUUAACCAGUGCCACUCCUUCCCAGAAAAAACACGCCCAUUCUUCCCAGAACCACAAUACCAACAACGCGUCCGCACACCUGACCUCGGAGACGCCGUCCCCAGCUUCCCUGACCAGCCGAACAGUGUAGCAAGUGGCAGAUGAUGGAAAUCAGCUCGAAGGCUCCAUGGAGGAAAUUAAAGAUUGCUGACUACAAAAUCAACAAGACUCACUCGCAAGAACUUCCAGUAUCCAGUAGGAGUGAAAGGAGUAAGAACAUCUAAUUGGAUUUGCACAGGGAUAUGAUUCGCACUUUGACUGUGAGAGGUCAUAGAGUCAAAUCCCAGCCCUUCUGUCCUUAUGAACCAUGAUGUCAUUCGACUUUAUUACUGUCAGCAGCAUAUCAUUAGCAAAGAUCCUCAAGGAAGCGGUGAAAAGGUGAAUGUCAUCUGGAAAGCUGAAGGGGAUCUGAUCUGGUUUGUGAGUGGAUCAGUGCGUCAUUUAUGUUUGUAGCAGCUGUUUAUGUCACCUGUGUUACGACAGCUGAUUUGAGACGAGCGCUGUCAGACUCCAACCCUGGCCAUGUUAUAACACAGACAUGAUGUUUCAGCCCUAAUGCA